rnacentral:rRNA from 1 species
UGGGGAAUUUUGGACAAUGGACGCAAGUCUGAUCCAGUCAUGCCGCGUGCGGGAAGAGGGCCUUCGGGUUGUAAACCGCUUUUGUCAGGGAAGAAACGAGUUUCUCUAAUACAGAGACUUAAUAACGGUACCUGAAGAAUAAGCACCGGCUAACUACGUGCCAGCAGCCGCGGUAAUACGUAGGGUGCGAGCGUUAAUCGGAAUUACUGGGCGUAAAGCGUGCGCAGGCGGUUAUAUAAGACAGAUGUGAAAUCCCCGGGCUCAACCUGGGAACUGCAUUUGUGACUGCAUGGCUAGAGUACGGUAGAGGGGGAUGGAAUUCCGCGUGUAGCAGUGAAAUGCGUAGAUAUGCGGAGGAACACCGAUGGCGAAGGCAAUCCCCUGGACCUGUACUGACGCUCAUGCACGAAAGCGUGGGGAGCAAACA